rnacentral:rRNA from 1 species
AGCAGCCGCGGUAAUUCCAGCUCCAAUAGCGUAUAUUAAAGUUGUUGCAGUUAAAAAGCUCGUAGUUGAAUUUCGGGAUUUGUCAGUUGGUCGGGCUUCACUGUCCGUAUUGACUUGAUGGAUUCUUACCUUCUGAAUUACCAGCAUGCUAUUAAGUUAGUGCGUUGGGGAAGCAGAUCUAUUACCUUGAAAAAAUUGAGUGCUUAAAGCGAGCUAGUGCUUGAAUAGAUUAGCAUGAAUAAUAAAAUAGGACGGCAUGGUUCUAUUUUGUGGUUCUAGGAUCACCGUAAUGAUUAAUAGGGAUAGUUGGGGCACUAGUAUUCAAUUGUCAGAGGUGAAAUUCUUGGAUUUAUUGAAGACUAACUUCUGCGAAAGCAUUUGCCAAGGAUGUUUUCAUUAAUCAAGAACUAAGUUAGGGAUCGAAGACGAUCAGAUACCGUCGUAGUCUUAACCAUAAACUAUGCCGACUAGGAAUCGCACGAUGUUAAUUUUANAAUGUAC